GAUGAACGCUGGCGGCGUGCCUAAUACAUGCAAGUCGAGCGAACGGACGAGAAGCUUGCUUCUCUGAUGUUAGCGGCGGACGGGUGAGUAACACGUGGAUAACCUACCUAUAAGACUGGGAUAACUUCGGGAAACCGGAGCUAAUACCGGAUAAUAUUUUGAACCGCAUGGUUCAAAAGUGAAAGACGGUCUUGCUGUCACUUAUAGAUGGAUCCGCGCUGCAUUAGCUAGUUGGUAAGGUAACGGCUUACCGAGGCAACGAUGCAUAGCCGACCUGGGAGGGUGAUCGGCCACACUGGAACUGAGACACGGUCCAGACUCCUACGGGAGGCAGCAGUAGGGAAUCUUCCGCAAUGGGCGAAAGCCUGACGGAGCAACGCCGCGUGAGUGAUGAAGGUCUUCGGAUCGUAAAACUCUGUUAUUAGGGAAGAACAUAUGUGUAAGUAACUGUGCACAUCUUGACGGUACCUAAUCAGAAAGCCACGGCUAACUACGUG
rnacentral:rRNA from 1 species